rnacentral:rRNA from 1 species
GACGAACGCUGGCGGCGUGCUUAACACAUGCAAGUCGAACGGAAAGGCCCUGCUUUUGUGGGGUGCUCGAGUGGCGAACGGGUGAGUAACACGUGAGUAACCUGCCCUUGACUUUGGGAUAACUUCAGGAAACUGGGGCUAAUACCGGAUAGGAGCUCCUGCUGCAUGGUGGGGGUUGGAAAGUUUCGGCGGUUGGGGAUGGACUCGCGGCUUAUCAGCUUGUUGGUGGGGUAGUGGCUUACCAAGGCUUUGACGGGUAGCCGGCCUGAGAGGGUGACCGGCCACAUUGGGACUGAGAUACGGCCCAGACUCCUACGGGAGGCAGCAGUGGGGAAUAUUGCACAAUGGGCGGAAGCCUGAUGCAGCAACGCCGCGUGCGGGAUGACGGCCUUCGGGUUGUAAACCGCUUUCGCCUGUGACGAAGCGUGAGUGACGGUAAUGGGUAAAGAAGCACCGGCUAACUACGUGCCAGCAGCCGCGGUGAUACGUAGGGUGCGAGCGUUGUCCGGAUUUAUUGGGCGUAAAGGGCUCGUAGGUGGUUGAUCGCGUCGGAAGUGUAAUCUUGGGGCUUAACCCUGAGCGUGCUUUCGAUACGGGUUGACUUGAGGAAGGUAGGGGAGAAUGGAAUUCCUGGUGGAGCGGUGGAAUGCGCAGAUAUCAGGAGGAACACCAGUGGCGAAGGCGGUUCUCUGGGCCUUUCCUGACGCUGAGGAGCGAAAGCGUGGGGAGCGAACAGGCUUAGAUACCCUGGUAGUCCACGCUGUAAACGGUGGGUACUAGGUGUGGGGUCCAUUCCACGGGUUCCGUGCCGUAGCUAACGCUUUAAGUACCCCGCCUGGGGAGUACGGCCGCAAGGCUAAAACUCAAAGGAAUUGACGGGGCCCCGCACAAGCGGCGGAGCAUGCGGAUUAAUUCGAUGCAACGCGUAGAACCUUACCUGGGUUUGACAUGGAUCGGGAGUGCUCAGAGAUGGGUGUGCCUCUUUUGGGGUCGGUUCACAGGUGGUGCAUGGCUGUCGUCAGCUCGUGUCGUGAGAUGUUGGGUUAAGUCCCGCAACGAGCGCAACCCUUGUUCACUGUUGCCAGCACGUUAUGGUGGGGACUCAGUGGAGACCGCCGGGCUCAACUCGGAGGAAGGUGGGGAUGACGUCAAGUCAUCAUGCCCCUUAUGUCCAGGGCUUCACGCAUGCUACAAUGGCUGGUACAGAGAGUGGCGAGCCUGUGAGGGUGAGCGAAUCUCGGAAAGCCGGUCUCAGUUCGGAUUGGGGUCUGCAACUCGACCUCAUGAAGUCGGAGUCGCUAGUAAUCGCAGAUCAGCAACGCUGCGGUGAAUACGUUCCCGGGGCU